AGACAGCAGCAGCCGCGGGAACACGUAGGUGGCGAGCGUUGUCCGGAAUCAUUGGGCGUAAAGGGAGCGCAGGCGGGCAAGUAAGUCUUUCUUAAAAGUUCGGGGCUCAACCCCGUGAUGGGAAAGAAACUACAUGUCUUGAGUACAGGAGAGGAAAGCGGAAUUCCCAGUGUAGCGGUGAAAUGCGUAGAUAUUGGGAGGAACACCAGUGGCGAAGGCGGCUUUCUGGACUGCAACUGACGCUGAGGCUCGAAAGCCAGGGGAGCGAACGGGAUUAGAUACCCGUGUAGUCCCUGUCUCUUAUACA
rnacentral:rRNA from 1 species